rnacentral:lncRNA from 1 species
GGUAAGACGAAACUGUUUCUCCUCCUGUCUCCGCGAUCAUAUACACAGGAAGGUCGACGUUCUGAUGGUUUUGCUACGUGAACGUCAUCAUAUGUGUGUGUUAUAUGUGUGUAUAUAUUGUGUAUAUAUGUACUGUCUGCCCUUGUGCAUAUGUGUAUAUGUAUAUGUUGUACGAACCGCCUCUGGAUCAAUCGCAAGUCCACUCACGGGUGUGUGGUGCACUUGCUGCUGCUGCUGCUGCACCUCAGCUGCAUUUCGAUCUACUCUUUAACAAGGUUGGUUUGAACACGGAGAAGAGACGGAAAAUAUGCCUCGUACAAUCUUCCUCGCUCAAAAGCAACCUGACAGAGGCCUACCUAUCAAGAUGAAAAAGUGUACACGAAUGAACAAGAAAGAGAAAAAGAAAUAAAAACAAAA